ensembl:lncRNA
AACCCCAUCUACAUGUCCUCCAACCCCAUCUACACGUCCUCCAACCCCAUCUACACGUCCUCCAACCCCAUCUACACAUCCUCCAACCCCAUCUACACAUCCUCCAACCCCAUCUACACAUCCUACAGCCCCAUCUACACGUCCUCCAACCCCAUCUACACAUCCUCCAACCCCAUCUACACGUCCUCCAACCCCAUCUACACGUCCUCCAACCCCAUCUACACGUCCUCCAACCCCAUCUACACGUCCUCCAACCCCAUCUACACGUCCUCCAACCCCAUCUACACGUCCUCCAACCCAUCUACACGUCCUCCAACCCCAUCCAUGUCCUCCAACCCAUCUACACGUCCUCCAACCCCAUCUACACGUCCUACAACCCCAUCUACACGUCCUCCAACCCCAUCUACACAUCCUACAACCCCAUCUACACGUCCUACACCCCCAUCUACACAUCCUACAACCCCAUCUACACAUCCUACAGCCCCAUCUACACAUCCUCCAACCCCAUCUAUACAUCUACACGUCCUCCAACCCCAUCUACACAUCCUCCAACCCCAUAUACACGUCCUCCAACCCCAUAUACACGUCCUCCAACCCCAUCAACACGUCUUCCAACCCCAUCUACACGUCCUACAACCCCAUCUACACGUCCUACAACCCCAUCUACACGUCAUCCAACCCCAUCUACACGUCCUCCAACCCCAUCUACACAUCCUCCAACCCCAUCUACACAUAUACACACCCUCCAACCCCAUCUACACAUCCUACAACCCCAUCUACAUAUCCUACAGCCCCAUCUACACAUCCUCCAACCCCAUCUACACAUUUACACGUUCUACAACCCCAUCUACACUUCCUCCAACCCCAUCUACACUUCCUCCAACCCCAUCUACACGUCCUCCAACCCCAUCUACAUGUCCUCCAGCCCCAUCUACACAUCCUCCAACCCCAUCUACACGUCCUCCAACCCCAUCUACG